rnacentral:lncRNA from 1 species
GUGAUCUCGAGUGAAUUCCUCGAACUCCAUUGCCCCUCUUUCUUUUUCGUUCGAAAUGGGCCAUUGAGGCCUAAUUGCAUCUCCUCGAGUCUUAUUUAAAUCUGAGUCCUGACGGACUGAUGUGUGAAGCAAGGGAUGGCGAUCAAAUAGUUUGAAUACAGGGCUGGAAAAGAAAGGCUGAAAACAGGCUGAAAUACAUCAUGUAUACANNNNN